AUACUUACCUGGCAGGGGAGAUACCAUGAUCACGAAGGUGGUUUUCCCAGGGCAGGGCUUGUCCAUUGCACUCCGGAUGUGCUGACCCCUGCGAUUUCCCCAAAUGCCAGGAACUCAGCUGCAUAAUUUGUGGUAGUGGGGGACUGCAUUCACGCUCUCCUCUA
rnacentral:snRNA from 1 species